AAAACUGACAGUCUGUUAGAUAGACUGAGACCAUAUAUCUCUUUCUCUCUCGCAGAAUUUCGCUAAAAUAUGACGUCUCUUGUAUGACGCCACUCUGAUUAUAGGCUCUCUAUUAUGCAUGAGUCUGUGCUGCGACCUGUAUGCCUAUUUUUUAACUUCGUAACGACAAUAUCACCAUUAUCUAGAGAUAUCAUUACUAUCUAGAGAUAUAUCAGAGAGAAAUCUGAGAGAGUCCAUGUCAGAUUUUUCGUGACAUCGUCGAAAUUGCCCAUACAAAUUCUCAGUCCGGAUCUACAUAAGUUGUUUUCAGCCUUAAGAAAUUGACUAAUUACAAUCGAAUGCUAGGAGAAUAAUUGAUUGUGAUUCAUCCGUUCCUUAUGGCUUAAGAUUUAAAAAUCUAUUGUAGAUCCGUGAUCAAACGCAUGGUUAAUCAAUAUGCUGAGGCGUGUUCGUUGGAUUACCUGAGAGUUCUCCGAGUGUUAUGUUAUCCUUGUUUAACAUUUGGUAAAAUCGCUGAAGAGUAUAGUAUUUAGAAUGAAAUAUAUUAUUUUUAUAAGAAAGAAUGCGGAAACUUGAAAGAAGAAUAGAGAGAAGAUUGUUGCGCGAUGCGCAAAAUCCAUUUGAACAACAAGAAUUUAUUGUACAGUUCAGACUAAACCAAGUUUUGAUCAUGCAAAUUGUUAAUAAUUUAAGACAAGAUUUAGAAAAACAACGUAUAACUGGUCUCUAGAAAUUCAAGUUUUGGUUGCAAUUGAUUUUUUUGCUCAUGGUUCUUAUCAAAGACCAGCUGGAAACCAAUGCGAAUUAGUAAGUCAGCCAACUACUAGCCGUUGCAUACGUAAAGUGCAUAAUAAAUACAUAAUUAAUAAAUAUACAUUUAUUAUGCCAAUGGAUAAAAUUUUCCAUGAUGCCACAUGAAAAGACUACUGCAAUAGAACAAAUUUGCACUAGCUGCACAGAUAUUUCCUCGAGCUGUUGGAGCUACUGAUUGUACGUACAUAAAUAUUCUUGCAUCACAUGUUCAUGAAGAAGCAUAUGUUAAUCACCAUCAUUCUUUGAAAGCAAUAGUUGAUUCAGAUAUGAAAAUAUUAAAUAUAAAUGCACGAUACCCAGAUAGAUGCAAGGAAUGAUGCAUAUAUCUGGAGUGCUUCUCCAAUUAAACGUGUCAUGGAACAUUGGUAUAACCAAGGGGAAAAUUUAUUUAAUUGGAGAUGCUGGAUAUCCAUUAGAGCCAUGGUUAAUGACACCGUUGACAAAUUAUCCUCAGUGGAAUCGCUAGUGUCAUUAUAAUCAGAAAUUAUGUAAAACACGGAGUAUCGUUGAAAGAUUAUUUGGAAUUUUAAAGGAAACGUGGAGAUGUUUGUCUUACCAACGUA